AGAGUUUGAUCCUGGCUCAGAUUGAACGCUGGCGGCAUGCCUUACACAUGCAAGUCGAACGGCAGCACGGGAGCAAUCCUGGUGGCGAGUGGCGAACGGGUGAGUAAUAUAUCGGAACGUGCCCAGUCGUGGGGGAUAACGCAGCGAAAGCUGUGCUAAUACCGCAUACGAUCUAUGGAUGAAAGCGGGGGAUCGCAAGACCUCGCGCGAUUGGAGCGGCCGAUAUCAGAUUAGGUAGUUGGUGGGGUAAAAGCCCACCAAGCCGACGAUCUGUAGCUGGUCUGAGAGGACGACCAGCCACACUGGAACUGAGACACGGUCCAGACUCCUACGGGAGGCAGCAGUGGGGAAUUUUGGACAAUGGGCGCAAGCCUGAUCCAGCAAUGCCGCGUGCAGGAUGAAGGCCUUCGGGUUGUAAACUGCUUUUGUACGGAACGAAACGGCCCUCUCUAAUAAAGGGGGCUAAUGACGGUACCGUAAGAAUAAGCACCGGCUAACUACGUGCCAGCAGCCGCGGUAAUACGUAGGGUGCGAGCGUUAAUCGGAAUUACUGGGCGUAAAGCGUGCGCAGGCGGUUAUAUAAGACAGAUGUGAAAUCCCCGGGCUCAACCUGGGACCUGCAUUUGUGACUGUAUAGCUAGAGUACGGUAGAGGGGGAUGGAAUUCCGCGUGUAGCAGUGAAAUGCGUAGAUAUGCGGAGGAACACCGAUGGCGAAGGCAAUCCCCUGGACCUGUACUGACGCUCAUGCACGAAAGCGUGGGGAGCAAACAGGAUUAGAUACCCUGGUAGUCCACGCCCUAAACGAUGUCAACUGGUUGUUGGGUCUUCACUGACUCAGUAACGAAGCUAACGCGUGAAGUUGACCGCCUGGGGAGUACGGCCGCAAGGUUGAGACUCAAAGGAAUUGACGGGGACCCGCACAAGCGGUGGAUGAUGUGGUUUAAUUCGAUGCAACGCGAAAAACCUUACCCACCUUUGACAUGUACGGAAUUUGCCAGAGAUGGCUUAGUGCUCGAAAGAGAACCGUAACACAGGUGCUGCAUGGCUGUCGUCAGCUCGUGACGUGAGAUGUUGGGUUAAGUCCCGCAACGAGCGCAACCCUUGUCAUUAGUUGCUACAUUUAGUUGGGCACUCUAAUGAGACUGCCGGUGACAAACCGGAGGAAGGUGGGGAUGACGUCAAGUCCUCAUGGCCCUUAUAGGUGGGGCUACACACGUCAUACAAUGGCUGGUACAAAGGGUUGCCAACCCGCGAGGGGGAGCUAAUCCCAUAAAGCCAGUCGUAGUCCGGAUCGCAGUCUGCAACUCGACUGCGUGAAGUCGGAAUCGCUAGUAAUCGUGGAUCAGAAUGUCACGGUGAAUACGUUCCCGGGUCUUGUACACACCGCCCGUCACACCAUGGGAGCGGGUUCUGCCAGAAGUAGUUAGCCUAACCGCAAGGAGGGCGAUUACCACGGCAGGGUUCGUGACUGGGGUGAAGUCGUAACAAGGUA
rnacentral:rRNA from 1 species